GACGUAGGGCGCAAGCGUUGUCCGGAUUUAUUGGGCGUAAAGAGCUCGUAGGCGGCCUGUCGCGUCGGCCGUGAAAACCUGCAAGCUUAACUGUGGGCUUGCGGUCGAUACGGGCAUCACUGGAGUUCGGCAGGGGAGACUGGAAUUCCUGGUGGUAGCGGUGAAAUGCGCAGAUAUCAGGAGGAACACCGGUGGCGAAGGCGGGUCUCUGGGCCGAUGACCUGACGCUGAGGAGCGAAAGCGUGGGGAGCGAACAGG
rnacentral:rRNA from 1 species